UUAUGAUAUUUUCUUUGAGACAUGUUUUACUUGUUUAAUUACAUUCUUUGAAUUCUUGUCACUAAUAGAAUUAAGUAUAGACAAAAGAUUCUAUAUCUCUAUUUGUUGGCCACCUUACUUACUUACUUACUUACUUACUUACCUUACCUACUUACUUACCUUACUUACUUACUUACUUACCUUACUUACUUACUUACCUUACUUACUUACUUACCUUACUUACUUACUUACCUUACCUACUUACUUACCUUACUUACUUAC
rnacentral:lncRNA from 1 species